GAUGAACGCUGGCGGCGUGCCUAAUACAUGCAAGUCGAGCGAACGGACGAGAAGCUUGCUUCUCUGAUGUUAGCGGCGGACGGGUGAGUAACACGUGGAUAACCUACCUAUAAGACUGGGAUAACUUCGGGAAACCGGAGCUAAUCCGGGAAAAUAUUUUGAACCGCAUGGUUAAAAAGUAAAAGACGGUCUUGCUGUCACUUAUAGAUGAAUCCGCGCUGCAUUAGCUAGUUGGUAAGGUAACGGCUUACCAAGGCAACGAUGCAUAGCCGACCUGAGAGGGUGAUCGGCCACACUGGAACUGAGACACGGUCCAGACUCCUACGGGAGGCAGCAGUAGGGAAUCUUCCGCAAUGGGCGAAAGCCUGACGGAGCAACGCCGCGUGAGUGAUGAAGGUCUUCGGAUCGUAAAACUCUGUUAUUAGGGAAGAACAUAUGUGUAAGUAACUGUGCACAUCUUGACGGUACCUAAUCAGAAAGCCACGGCUAACUACGUG
rnacentral:rRNA from 1 species